rnacentral:rRNA from 1 species
UACGUAGGGUGCAAGCGUUAAUCGGAAUUACUGGGCGUAAAGCGUGCGCAGGCGGUUUUGUAAGUCUGUCGUGAAAUCCCCGGGCUUAACCUGGGAAUGGCGAUGGAGACUGCAAGGCUAGAGUUUGGCAGAGGGGGGUAGAAUUCCACGUGUAGCAGUGAAAUGCGUAGAUAUGUGGAGGAACACCGAUGGCGAAGGCAGCCCCCUGGGUCAAGACUGACGCUCAUGCACGAAAGCGUGGGGAGCAAACAGG